AAAACCGGUUUGUUCAGUUAAACAGUCAUGGCUGCUUGUCAAGUGUGCGGCCACGUUGGUGAAUUUGUCGUCCAGGUUGUAACUAAUGGCGAAUUCCAGAAUUUAGUCUGGUAAACUGGUAGCCAGAAAUACUGUAAAUCGGUUUGGACAUUUGCUUUUUUCCAGCCGUGCAGUGAGGGUUAUAGCGUCAAACCAGGUGUGUCAGUAGUGAACGUCAGUUAAAGGCUAAGCGUAGAAUAUGUGGGUGAGGACUAGGACCGUGAAAUAUAAACGGAACAAGGCAUGACGCAAGAGGGACGUACGGGAGCCCGUGGAUGGUGAAUGUCAAUGGUCAGGAGCUCUGUGUGCUAUGGAGGCCCUGUGGUGACUAUUUUUAGGGCGGCUGUUGCUAUUGUUUGAAGUCAAACUUUCAAUUCUAUUCAAUGAUUGAAUGAUGUGUUACAUAAGCUAGUGAUAACAGGUAAUUCUUCAAUUACAGAUAAUGUUCCAAUUUUUUCUGUAAAAUUACAUAUAACAGUAUGAAUAAUUUUGAUUUGUUUGUUUAUUCUAUUACAUAAAUUUAUUGCUAUACUUAGCUUGUGUUUAAAGCAUUUAUUUGUUUCUUAUAUAUACAGACAAUUGAAUGUGUUUAAAGUUAAUCCAUAUUAUUUCAUUGUCAGUGGUAUUUGAUUUACAAUUUAGAGUUUCAUUUCGUUCUUAGUGAGAGUGAGAGUGUUUCUUGGUGUGAGUAUCUUCUUAUUCUAUUAUUUUGAUUUCAUUUUUGGUUAAAUGAAUUCAUUUUGUUUUGUUUAUUUUACUGUUUGUCGUUUCGCAAUUUACGCCACAAAAUCCAAAAAUAACUUCAUUACACAUAUACAUAUUUUAUCAAAUUGUCUAAUGCUUAGGUAAAUGGGAUACAUAUUACAAAAACAUUCUAAUGAAAACAGUUUAUGUCUUUUUUAAACAUUACAAUUUGAUAGAGUUUAGUAUUUUUGAAACCUCUAUUCCUGCAAAGAACAGUUUGCUGGAUUUUGAAAAACAUGGAAGGCUGUUUUUUGACUUCUUCACUCCUACAGCACAGUGAAUCUAAAAUAAGAUAAGACAAACAACAACUAGAGUAACAAAACGCACUAUUAUGAAUUUAUUAUUAGCUAAAUUAGAAUAUGUGAAAAUUUUGUUUUAUUUAUUUCAUUGUUAAUAGUUCUACAACAGCUCGAAGAUCAUCUCAUUAUUUCGUCCCAUCAUAUCUUCCCGCCAAAUUUAUUUAUACCCUUUUAAAAACAAGUACCAUACCUUGUAAAUUACACACAUAUGAGACUGCUACAUGUAUACUUAUCAUGAUUUUUAUCUCUUGUUUUUGUUUUCAUGUCCCUUAAGCUACUGAAAGAAACGCUUGUAUUAAUAUACAUAAUUAACUUACCCAGGUGUUUAUCUUUUUCCCCGCCUUGUUUAGAUCUGCUGCGGAGAGAAUGGCGUCAUUUAAUGACGACUUGUCGACGGUCUGUCCUUGGAUCACAGUCUCGUUAUCGACGUACCAGUCUAUGUGGUAGAGGUGGGUGUCAUCAUCAGAAGGGGUGAAGGAACAAACCAGGUUGACAGAGGGGUCGUACUGAAAAAGACCCGGAACUAUCGCAUGUUUCUUUUCUGUCCACGUGAUAUUGUGGAAGGAAACUCGAACGUUGUCUAUAAAUUCAUCCACACCUAUAAGAGAGUUAAGAAGCUUUUGUUGAAAUAAUAUGGAUAAUGCUUAGAAGUAAGACUGAGUUCUCCAAUGUGCAAAUUCACCAAUUUUAUCAUUUAAUUUAACAAUCAUUUAUAACCCAGUCACCUUUAUGUUGUACUUACAAUUGUGUCCAAGCUCUGCAACAUUUGAAAAAAAAAAUAAUUUCAUGGAAAAAGUAAA
rnacentral:sRNA from 1 species